rnacentral:rRNA from 1 species
GCUCUCUGAUUCAGCGGCGGACGGGUGAGUAAUGCCUAGGAAUCUGCCUGAUAGUGGGGGACAACGUUUCGAAAGGAACGCUAAUACCGCAUACGUCCUACGGGAGAAAGCAGGGGACCUUCGGGCCUUGCGCUAUCAGAUGAGCCUAGGUCGGAUUAGCUAGUUGGUGAGGUAACGGCUCACCAAGGCGACGAUCCGUAACUGGUCUGAGAGGAUGAUCAGUCACACUGGAACUGAGACACGGUCCAGACUCCUACGGGAGGCAGCAGUGGGGAAUAUUGGACAAUGGGCGAAAGCCUGAUCCAGCCAUGCCGCGUGUGUGAAGAAGGUCUUCGGAUUGUAAAGCACUUUAAGUUGGGAGGAAGGGCAUUAACCUAAUACGUUAGUGUUUUGACGUUACCGACAGAAUAAGCACCGGCUAACUUCGUGCCAGCAGCCGCGGUAAUACGAAGGGUGCAAGCGUUAAUCGGAAUUACUGGGCGUAAAGCGCGCGUAGGUGGUUUGUUAAGUUGAAUGUGAAAGCCCCGGGCUCAACCUGGGAACUGCAUCCAAAACUGGCAAGCUAGAGUAUGGCAGAGGGUGGUGGAAUUUCCUGUGUAG